rnacentral:rRNA from 1 species
GUUUGGNNNAUGGCUCAGGACGAACGCUGGCGGCGUGCUUAACACAUGCAAGUCGAACGAUGAACCGCUUUCGGGCGGGGAUUAGUGGCGAACGGGUGAGUAACACGUGGGCAAUCUGCCCUGCACUCUGGGACAAGCCCUGGAAACGGGGUCUAAUACCGGAUAUGACUGUCCGCCGCAUGGUGGAUGGUGUAAAGCUCCGGCGGUGCAGGAUGAGCCCGCGGCCUAUCAGCUUGUUGGUGAGGUAGUGGCUCACCAAGGCGACGACGGGUAGCCGGCCUGAGAGGGCGACCGGCCACACUGGGACUGAGACACGGCCCAGACUCCUACGGGAGGCAGCAGUGGGGAAUAUUGCACAAUGGGCGAAAGCCUGAUGCAGCGACGCCGCGUGAGGGAUGACGGCCUUCGGGUUGUAAACCUCUUUCAGCAG